rnacentral:lncRNA from 1 species
AAAAGAAUAAAGUGAAACACAUUUCAGAUUCAUGGCACAGAAAAAAAUUGAGAAUUUGAAUGAUAUAACCAAGAGCAGCUGAAAAAACUUCAAACACACGGCUGCUGGUUAAUAACAUCUUGGGAGCUUAGCAGGAUGAAACAUGUCACAAGGUCACACUUGAGAGAAGAAAAUAAGUAAAAACCUUAGGCAAGUCUGUAUAAGGUGUAAGCUUUUCAAAAUCUACUGCAUCAAAUGUCCGUUUUUUCCCAGCAUUCUGAUCAGUAGGACGGUCUUGACUGGAUUGCUCACAAUCAUCCUGUUUAUGGGCAGAGGUCUUCUCUUUACCCCAUUUCUGGUCCUUGCUGAUAGUACCAUUCCACUGAACAGUAGGACGGUCUUGACUGGAUUGCUCAUGGUCAUGUUUAUGGGCUGAGGUCUUCUCUUUACCCCAUUUCUGGUCCUUGCUGAUAGUACCAUUCCGCUGAACAGUAGGACGGUCUUGACUGGAUUGCUCAUGGUCAUCCUGUUUAUGGGAUGAGGUCCACCCUUUACCCCAUAUCUGGUCCUUCUUCUUGCUGGCAGUACCACUCCACUGAACAGUACGACCAUCUUGGCUGGAUUGCUCAUAGUCAUUCUGUUUAUGGGAUGAGGUCCUCUCUUUACCCCAUUUUGGGUCCUUCUUGCUGACAGUACCCCUCCACUGAGCAGCAUGACCGUCUUGGCUGGAUGGUUCAUAGUCGUCCUGUUUAUGGGAUGAGGUUCUCUCUUUACCCCAUUUCUGACCCUUCUUCUUGCUGGUAGUACCAUUCCACUGAAAUGUGUCCUGAAACAUCCAUAUAACAUGUGCACAUCAACAAGUAGCAUUAGCAUACCUUCUGAAACUCAAAAACCACAGAGACAAAUCCUUGCCUUCUGUGAGGUUUGGACCUUAUGGCCAAACAGACAUGGAAUUACUUUGUGCGGUAAAUUUCUUGAGUAAAUAAUGAACAAGGUCAGUUGAACUAUUUGAACUAUUCUGGGCCCUUCGGUUAGAAUUAAGAUAUGGAUUACAUGAGCUGUUUUAAAGGAACCAAAUCAAAUAAGUGCUAAAAUAAUGAUGUUAAGCAAAAGUUUGAUUCUUUCUCUUAGAAUUUGGGUUGGGCCUAACUCAACCUUACAAGACCGGUUUGUAAGGCGAGAGCUUCCCAAUCUUUAUAUGCACUACAAAGGCCAUAUCUCUAGGCAAUGCGGGACUAAACCCACGCCUUCACACCCAACACAAUGAAGGUGUAUGUUGGAGGCUGCAGUGAAGGCAACCCAAAUGCCGCAAUUAGGCGGCUAGAGGGAGACCACAAUGAAGGUGAACUACCAGCACUUUGCAAGGUAUCCGCCAAGAAUUGUCCUAAAGAACUUUAGCUACCCCCCUGACUCUCCCCAUUUACCCAUAACAAACCUAGAAAACGAACUAUGAGUUUGGAAAUUUAGUACUAUGAUAUUUCAAGUCACUCAAGACAGGUACAUUCUAUAUCCUCCAUCAAGCUACAGUCUAAAAUCCAAUUAAAUAAAAAAAACAAAAGAUCAGAUGCAAACAUGCUAAUGUUCG